rnacentral:rRNA from 1 species
CUACGGGGGCAGCAGUGGGGAAUAUUGGACAAUGGGCGAAAGCCUGAUCCAGCCAUGCCGCGUGUGUGAAGAAGGCCUUCGGGUUGUAAAGCACUUUCAGUGGGGAAGAAAGCCUUGGGGCUAAUACCCUCGAGGAAGGACAUCACCCACAGAAGAAGCACCGGCUAACUCCGUGCCAGCAGCCGCGGUAAUACGGAGGGUGCGAGCGUUAAUCGGAAUUACUGGGCGUAAAGCGCGCGUAGGCGGUCUGAUAAGCCGGUUGUGAAAGCCCCGGGCUCAACCUGGGAACGGCAUCCGGAACUGUCAGGCUAGAGUGCAGGAGAGGAAGGUAGAAUUCCCGGUGUAGCGGUGAAAUGCGUAGAGAUCGGGAGGAAUACCAGUGGCGAAGGCGGCCUUCUGGACUGACACUGACGCUGAGGUGCGAAAGCGUGGGUAGCAAACAGGAUUAGAUACCCUUGUAGUC